GACGAACGCUGGCGGCGUGCUUAACACAUGCAAGUCGAACGAUGAAGGAGAGCUUGCUCUCCGGAUUAGUGGCGAACGGGUGAGUAACACGUGACUAACCUGCCCCUUUCUCUGGGAUAACGCUCCGAAAGGAGUGCUAAUACCGGAUACGAACUCUGAACACAUGUUCGGAGUUGGAAAGUUUUUCGGAAAGGGAUGGAGUGGCGGCCUAUCAGCUUGUUGGUGAGGUAACGGCUCACCAAGGCGACGACGGGUAGCCGGCCUGAGAGGGCGGCCGGCCACACUGGGACUGAGACACGGCCCAGACUCCUACGGGAGGCAGCAGUGGGGAAUAUUGCACAAUGGGCGAAAGCCUGAUGCAGCGACGCCGCGUGAGGGAUGAAGGUCUUCGGAUUGUAAACCUCUUUCAGUAGGGACGAAGCGAAAGUGACGGUACCUAAAGAAGAAGCACCGGCUAACUACGUGCCAGCCGCCGCGGUAA
rnacentral:rRNA from 1 species